rnacentral:rRNA from 1 species
CCUACGGGUGGCAGCAGUGGGGAAUAUUGGACAAUGGGCGAAAGCCUGAUCCAGCCAUGCCGCGUGUGUGAAGAAGGCCUUCGGGUUGUAAAGCACUUUCAGUGGGGAAGAAAGCCUUGGGGCUAAUACCCUCGAGGAAGGACAUCACCCACAGAAGAAGCACCGGCUAACUCCGUGCCAGCAGCCGCGGUAAUACGGAGGGUGCGAGCGUUAAUCGGAAUUACUGGGCGUAAAGCGCGCGUAGGCGGUCUGAUAAGCCGGUUGUGAAAGCCCCGGGCUCAACCUGGGAACGGCAUCCGGAACUGUCAGGCUAGAGUGCAGGAGAGGAAGGUAGAAUUCCCGGUGUAGCGGUGAAAUGCGUAGAGAUCGGGAGGAAUACCAGUGGCGAAGGCGGCCUUCUGGACUGACACUGACGCUGAGGUGCGAAAGCGUGGGUAGCAAACAGGAUUAAUACCCCUGUAGUC